rnacentral:rRNA from 1 species
UUGUCGGGAAAGAUGGCCUCUGCAUAUGCUAUCGCCUUGAGAUGAGUCCGCGUCCCAUUAGCUAGUUGGUAGGGUAAUGGCCUACCAAGGCAACGAUGGGUAGCCGGUCUGAGAGGAUGACCGGCCACACUGGGACUGAAACACGGCCCAGACUCCUACGGGAGGCAGCAGUGGGGAAUAUUGCGCAAUGGGCGAAAGCCUGACGCAGCGACGCCGCGUGAGGGAUGA